CAAGCGAUGGGGUGACGCAGGAAGGUAGCUGGGCCAGUCAGUGGUUGUACUGGUGUAAGAGUGUAGGCCGUGACAUAGGCAAAUCCGUGUCACAUUAAGGCUGAGACUUGAUGCAUACCCGUUGUGGGGAAUUCAGUGAUCCUAUGCUGCCGAGAAAAGCCUCUAGUGAGUUCAUACACGGCCCGUACCCCAAACCGACACAGGUGAUCAGGUAGAGAAUACCAAGGCGAUCGAGAGAACUGUGGUUAAGGAACUCGGCAAAAUGCCCCCGUAACUUCGGGAGAAGGGGGACCAUGCCCGGUGAACAUCUUCACGGUGGGAGCUGGGUGUGGUCGCAGAGACCAGAGAGAAGCGACUGUUUACUAAAAACACAGGUCCGUGCGAAGACGUAAGUCGAUGUAUACGGACUGACGCCUGCCCGGUGCUGGAAGGUUAAGAGGACCGGUUAGCCGUAAGGCGAAGCUGAGAAUUUAAGCCCCAGUAAACGGCGGUGGUAACUAUAACCAUCCUAAGGUAGCGAAAUUCCUUGUCGGGUAAGUUCCGACCUGCACGAAUGGCGUAACGACUUCUCUGCUGUCUCGACCACAGACUCGGCGAAAUUGCACUACGAGUAAAGAUGCUCGUUACGCGCGGCAGGACGAAAAGACCCCGGGACCUUUACUAUAGCUUGGUAUUGGCGUUCGAUUCGGUUUGUGUAGGAUAGGUGGGAGACUGUGAAGCAUGCACGCCAGUGUGUGUGGAGUCGUUGUUGAAAUACCACUCUGAUCGUAUUGGACGUCUAACCUCGGCCCAUGAUCUGGGUUAGGGACAGUGCCUGGUGGGUAGUUUAACUGGGGCGGUUGCCUCCUAAAGAGUAACGGAGGCGCCCAAAGGUUCCCUCAGCCUGGAUGGCAAUCAGGUGUUGAGUGCAAGUGCACAAGGGAGCUUGACUGUGAGACUGACACGUCGAGCAGGGACGAAAGUCGGGACUAGUGAUCCGGCACCGGCAAGUGGAAGCGGUGUCGCUCAACGGAUAAAAGGUACCCCGGGGAUAACAGGCUGAUCUUCCCCAAGAGUCCAUAUCGACGGGAUGGUUUGGCACCUCGAUGUCGGCUCGUCGCAUCCUGGGGCUGGAGUAGGUCCCAAGGGUUGGGCUGUUCGCCCAUUAAAGCGGCACGCGAGCUGGGUUUAGAACGUCGUGAGACAGUUCGGUCUCUAUCCGCCGCGCGCGUAAGAAACUUGAGGAAGGCUGCCCCUAGUACGAGAGGACCGGGACGGACGAACCUCUGGUGUGCCAGUUGUUCCACCAGGAGCAUGGCUGGUUAGCUACGUUCGGAAGGGAUAACCGCUGAAAGCAUCUAAGCGGGAAGCCUGUUCCAAGAUGAGGUUUCUCACCACCUUGCGUGGUUAAGGCCCCCUACAGACCAUGGGGUUGAUAGGCCGGAACUGGAAGCGCAGCAAUGCGUGGAGGUGACCGGUACUAAUAGGCCGAGGGCUUAC
rnacentral:rRNA from 1 species